UCUGCACCCUGAUACAAUACGCGCGAUAGCACCGCCCAAUGAAACACCAAUCAGUGCUCUGCAAUCAUACCAUUCAAACAGGUGGACACGUUAGUUAGUUGAACUUGUCGUUCGUCGCUACAUUGAAAAGAUCUGUUUCCGACCCUUUGUCGGCUGGAAACCUGCCUGCGGACCUUAACAACUCAAAAAAGGUUAAAACACCUGCACAUCUUACAUGGACAAAGGUAGUGACAUUCUCGACAGAUUGAACAUUAAACCCGUCAUUAGAAUUCUAAUCAACAGGCCGGAGUGCAAGGCUACAUUUGGGGCCUUCUGAGUGCAGGUCCCGGGGCCUGGAGGCUCUCAUUACCUCUAAUACCUUCCCGCGAUCAAGAUGAAGCGCAAAAUAAAGAAGCGAAACGGCCUUUAACAGCAAUUAGCCUGCGUGGACAUGCAGUGCGAGAGACGCCGCGCCGUGAUGUGAGCGGUAACGGAAUGAUCCCGCCGCGCAUCAGCAUUCCGACCGCGCCGCCGCGGAGUCAGCGUGACACUCCAAUCAAAGCGCUCAGCACGAGUCAGACCCCGCCAAGUUUACUCUGCACUCUCUGCCGCGGCGGCGGCGGCUACAGAAGCCACGUGAAAGGGCUCAGGGCCGGCCCCGGCGGACGCGCGCGGCGAGGAAGAGGAAGAGGAACGACUCCCUCGUGCUCCUCGCGGGUCAGUUCCAAGGACCGCGUUAGCGGGCUGGAGGCAGGCCCUUAGCCGCGCGGAGUGGCUGCUAGCGGUAAUUAGCCUGGACAGCUCCGGCUCCGGGAGAGGCAGCCAGGCUACAUCUUAAUGAGCUCAGCUGGGAUUAGCAGGACAGGGCCGGGGAGCAGCCGAGCGCCAGGGCCUCCCGCCGCCGCCGCCACAGCAGCGCGGGCGCGGGGAGAUCAAACGGGGGGGGGGGCGGGGGCGGCUGGGCCCCCGCUCUGCCACCCGGGCAGAAUGAGGCACGGCGGUGUGGAAAAUACGGGGUAAUGAAGACGGACACCUCCGCCGCACACGCGCCCCGUUAAUUAACACAACCC